UCCGAGUUGACCCCGGCAGUCUCUCACGAGUCCCCACCAUUACGUGCUGGCAACAUGAGACAAGGGUUGCGCUCGUUGCGGGACUUAACCCAACAUCUCACGACACGAGCUGACGACGGCCAUGCAGCACCUGUGUUCUGGUUCUCUUUCGAGCACUCCCAAAUCUCUUCGGGAUUCCAGACAUGUCAAGGGUAGGUAAGGCUUUUCGCGUUGCAUCGAAUUAAACCACAUCAUCCACCGCUUGUGCGGGUCCCCGUCAAUUCCUUUGAGUUUCAACCUUGCGGUCGUACUCCCCAGGCGGGGCACUUAAUGCGUUAACUGCGGCACGGAAGGGGUCGAUCCCCCCACACCUAGUGCCCAUCGUUUACAGCCAGGACUAC
rnacentral:misc_RNA from 1 species